rnacentral:rRNA from 1 species
UACGUAGGGGGCAAGCGUUGUCCGGAUUUAUUGGGCGUAAAGAGCGUGUAGGCGGCCACACAGGUCUGCUGUGAAAACUCGAGGCUCAACCUCGGGCUGUCGGUGGAAACCGUGUGGCUAGAGUCCGGAAGAGGAGAGUGGAAUUCCCGGUGUAGCGGUGAAAUGCGCAGAUAUCGGGAAGAACACCCGUGGCGAAGGCGGCUCUCUGGGACGGUACUGACGCUGAGACGCGAAAGCGUGGGGAGCGAACAGG